UACAGAGGUCUCAAGCGUUGUUCGGAUUCAUUGGGCGUAAAGAGCUCGUAGGCGGUUCGGUAAGUCGGGUGUGAAAACUUUGGGCUCAACCCAAAGCCUGCACUCGAUACUGCUGUGACUUGAGUCCGGUAGGGGAGUGGGGAAUUCCUGGUGUAGCGGUGGAAUGCGCAGAUAUCAGGAGGAACACCGGUGGCGAAGGCGCCACUCGUGGGCCGGUACUGACGCUGAGGAGCGAAAGCGUGGGGAGCGAACAGGAUUA
rnacentral:rRNA from 1 species